rnacentral:miRNA from 1 species
AAUACAUAUAAAAUUAGAUUCUAAACGCGUUUCGCCCACAACAGGCUUAUAUUCUACUUGAAGAAGCCUGUUGUGGGCGAAACGCGUUUAGAAUCUAAUUUUAUAUGUAU